rnacentral:rRNA from 1 species
GAAGAGACGAGUCUCAUCCGGUAGAGCGAAUGAUUAGAGGUGAUGGGGUCGAAACGACUUCAACCUAUUCUCAAACUCCCAAUAGAUGAGAGCCCCGGCUUGCUUGAAAGUGAAGCCGCGGGACACGGAUCAGAGGUGCCAAGUGGGCCAAUUUUGGUAAGCAGAACUGGCGCUGUGGGAUGAACCAAACGCAGAGUUAAGGCGCCUGAUUCGACGCUCAUCCGAAACCAUGAAAGGCGUUGGUUGCUUAAGACAGCAGGACGGUGGCCAUGGAAGUCGGAAUCCGCUAAGGAGUGUGUAACAACUCACCUGCCGAAGCAACUAGCCCUGAAAAUGGAUGGCGCUGUAGCGUCGUGCCUAUACUCUGCCGUCAACGGCAAAGCGGGCGGCCCCUCACGGGGCGUU